GGUAAGAAUCGCCAGCCUUUAAUGAAUGAAGCCUGUGCGGUGCCAGGAAUGAAACCCAGUGCCUCGAACAUGCUAGGCAAGUGCUCUACCAUUGAGCCACAACCCCAGCCCCCAGUUUUAGUUUUAAGAAGGUAAUAUUUGACCCUGAAGCAGGCCACUUAGUUUGUGGGUGGGGUUUUCCUUCACCUGAAAUAGAGUGAUCUGUGCUCUAACAAAAACCAUUCUAGACAUCUAGAGCCCCCUGUGUGAAAAUAAUAAUUACAAUUCCACCUGAAGUAGACUUUCCAGAUGAAAUUGAUUUUUAAAAAGUUCCACUGUAACAAAGCCACAUAGUAAUAAAAUUUUUACCAGUUUUAACUACAAAACAAUUGUUUUAAGGACAUCCAGAAGAUAGGUUUGCCCAGAGAAAGAAGGUUAUGUUCAAAAAUAAUGGGGACUUAGAUUUGCUGGUCAGAAUUGAGCAAGACCUUGGGUUUGGGUAUGGUAGAUGGUAGGUUAGGUUUUUGAGAUGGUAAGCAACAGCAAUUUUUUGUUCACCAUCUGUACUCCUCUGAGGCUUCAUUGGGUAGUUGGGGGAGGGAAAAAAAAGGGUAAAAUCUUUGGCUGUGCUCCUAGUUUUUUCCUCUACUUUGCAUAAUCGAUUUCUACAACAUAACGUUUCCCCCUGCUUAAUCUUCCUCAUCCUUGUAGCUUUGAUUCUCACUGACAUUGCAUUUGCUAAAGCCUGUUAUUCCUUAUUCCUGGCUUUCCUAUUCUGUUGGCCUGGAAGAAGGUACAGGGUUAGCCCAGCUGGAGAAUGACUUGGGUUCUGGACAUUUCCUCACACUAGGUUUGAUUAUGUGGCCUCCUAUGGAGAACUACUUGAGAACAACACAAGCUGUGAUGUAUUUGGAACUUCUUUUUUUUUAAUAUUUAUUUAUUUAUUUUUCGGUGGACACAACAUCUUUGUUUGUAUUGUGGUGCUGAGGAUGGAACCCGGGCUGCACGCAUGCCAGGCGAGCGCACUACUGCUUGAGCCACAUCCCCAGCCCUGGAACUUCUUUAUGAUGUAUUUGUAUAUUUGAUUUAAUUUUUAUAUAAUUAUCUUUAUCCCAUCCUGCUGUGGGUUUCUGUUAUUUCUUUCUGGAGGAUAAACACGCAAAAGGCUUGUUAUAUUUGUUUUGGUGGUAGCUCCACCCCUUUAUUCGUCUAAACAGUUUCUUUUCCUGGUACUGAUGCUGUUGCUGUUAACCAUUUAUUGCCUAACAUAACAGUACCUUGUUCUCAGGGACCUAAUUUUAUUUUGAUGACUGGGGCAACCCUUACUUAAAUACUACUAACAAUUAAAGAGCAAUACAGACUGGA
rnacentral:lncRNA from 1 species